rnacentral:rRNA from 1 species
UACGGAGGGGGCUAGCGUUGUUCGGAAUCACUGGGCGUAAAGCGCGCGUAGGCGGGCUGGUCAGUUAGGGGUGAAAGCCCGGAGCUCAACUCCGGAACUGCCUUUAAUACUGCCAGUCUUGAGGUCGAGAGAGGUAAGCGGAAUUCCGAGUGUAGAGGUGAAAUUCGUAGAUAUUCGGAAGAACACCAGUGGCGAAGGCGGCUUACUGGCUCGACUCUGACGCUGAGGUGCGAAAGCGUGGGGAGCAAACAGG